rnacentral:misc_RNA from 1 species
GCCUGUCUGCGGUGCGCGCUGGGCUCUAUAUGUCCUUGUACCAAUGCUCCACGGAGCAGGGCUUGGUAUAUCGCUUGGCAGGUGUGAUCAUCUCGCGUCAGAUGAACCCGAAGCCUUGCUGCCCUCGCCCACCUGAACCCCGGUUCAGGCUGCGAGUCCAGGCCCACUCGCAGACACCUA